UCCAGCUUUUCGAAACCCAUUGGUAAAAAGCUGUAAAUUAGCCGCAUGUCGGAGUUCAAAGCGACGGCUUAAAGUCCUGGAAUUACGCUCGCCAGAAGGGCAGGUGUUGGUCUGCACGGCGAGAUGUGAAAGAACAGAAGGAGCGAAGACGGGGAGAAGAAGUGCAGAGGAGGAAUGGAACCGUCUCAACAUCUCAAGUAUGAGAAAGUAGCACUUUUCAAUAUGAAGAAGAUGAAAGUGUCUGAAAAUGUGUGAUGCUUCAUGGGUUAUAAUCACGACUGGGUGAUGAGGUUAAAAAAAAAAAAAUUACUAGAAGCAUAUGUCAGGGGUUGGCGGGCUUUUAAGCUGCACUGGAGGCAUUUCUUUUUUUUUUUCCCCUCCUAAAUCUGAGGGAGGCAAGGAGCAGUCCGGUGCAAAGCUGCAGCAGGGUUCGUGCCAGUUUAUUGCUGUCGCAGCCCACACAUUCGCUUGAUACAAUCGCAGAGACACCAAAUGCCAUGAGAAUGUCAAACUCGGUCUUUAAAGAGACAACCGCCAUGGAGGAAGAAACAACACGGUUUCGUCACAACAGGUGAUAAAUCCUACUCUGUCUCAUAAUGCAGGAGAAGGAGGACGGGCACAGCAAAAACAGAAUAUUUGCAGUAUGAAGUCACUGACAGCAGCUGGCUAACUAAGCUUUGCACAGAAAGUGGAAUCAGGGUAAAACAGGUUUAUGGUUUGGAUCAAACAGUAGGAGGAUUCUAACUGAAGAAUGAUCACAAACCUGCAUUAACAGAAUGUAUAAUACAUAACGAAAACCCUCCAAAACUACUGAAAUAAAUCAUUAAAAUCCCACAGAUAGUGUAUUAAUGCCUGUGAGGAGCAGAUGUAAACUCAUGACAGGAGCUGUACCUAUUCUUUGCUUCUAUGUUUGUGUUUAAUGCUUCUUGAAUAUGGAUGGAGAGAGAUGUGUCUUUUGACUCAGUGAUAAUGGUGUGUGCUGUUUCAUAAAACCACCUCCAUGUGCCUUGUAAACAACACAUCCUGAGGGACCGGGGAGCCAAUCACAGGUGAAAAAUCACUGCAAGCAUUGACAACUGGAGGUCCUGAAACAUCAGGUGUUUGGAUGGAUAAUAAACUGAUCAGUCCCUGUCAGGGAGGGAAAAAUAGCACGGUUCAAAGAAAACAAAUACACCGCUUGCAAAGAUUAUCUCCAUUAAAUUCCAUGAAAGCUCAGCUGUCAUUGGUGGUAUGUUGUGGGUCUGAUUUACCUGUUCCUUGCAGUGCUGAGAACAUCACUGUUCUCAUUAGAAGCUGCCUCUGUGCUGUCUCAUAGCAACCUAAAAAUAGAAAUGUCCAUAUUAGGCUGUAUGGCGGUGAUGGCUGCUACAAGUUUUGGCCUCUUUAAUUGAACACUGUAAAUAUACAUCGAUGUGGAAAAAUAUGCAGCACCUAGUAAAAGUGUUCACACCGCUAGAGCUUUUUCAUGUUUUGUGCUAAAACCAUAGCUUUACCAUUGCAAUGGUACUUAAUGUGAUCGAGCAACACAAAGCAGAGCAUAUGGGAGAAGAGAUGGAUAUAUGUUCUUAAAUUCUUUAUAUGGAUCCAGCUGCAGGCAGUACGUUGUAAAAUCAAAACUUUAAUCCUUUUUGGUAUAGGGUCUCCAUCAGCCUUGCUCGCACACAACAAAAUUUUAAUUUUGGCUAUUUCGUUUUUUUGCAAACAGGUUGUCAGAUUGACUAUGCCAUUCUAAUCCAUAAAUAUCCACUGGUCUAAACCAGGACAUAGCACUGUAAGUUCAGGGUUUUUCUCUAGUUGAGAAUUAACAUCUGCUCAAGUUUCAAGUGUUUCUGCAACUUCCAAA